AAAUUCACCUAAAUUAGGGUAGGGUUUUCUCACAAAUGGCAUGGCAUAGUAAUGGUAUGGUAUAGCUAGAAAAAUGAUUUUUUAUUUUAUUUUGUUCUUGGUGUAUUUCAAAUCAAACCCACUCAACAAGCCUUUUACUUAAUUGGGUAAUAUAUAUUUAUAUAUGGAUCUAUUUCUUUCAGGUGAUUCUAUUUGAAGUUAUAUAGGAAGGAUUUGUUACUGUGUAAAUAUUAUUUGCUUCUUCAUCACAAGCCAUGAUCGUCAUCACAACCAUUUCACAUGAUUAAAAACCUAAAGUCAACAAGAGAAUCCAUUUAACACAACUU
rnacentral:lncRNA from 1 species